GGAUAUCUAGUUGUUUCAGUACCAUUUGUCAAACAAGCUGUCCUUUCUCCAUUGAAUUGCUUUUGUUUCUUUGUCAAACCUUAGUUGACUGUAUUAGUGUGAAUCCAUUUUCAGUUUUGUAUUCUGUUCUAUUUAUUUGUCUAUUCAGUCAUCAAUGCCACAUUAUUGUGUUUACCUUUAUGGUAAAUCCUGUAGUUGGUAGUGUCAGUCUACCAACUUUGUUCUUCAACAUUGUGUUGGCUAUUCUGGGUUUUUGCUUUUCCAUGUCAUCUUUAGAAUCAAGUUGGUCAAUAUCCACAAAAUAAACUGCUAGAUUUUGAUUGAGAGUGUUGAAUCCAUGUAUCAAGUUGAGAAGAACUGGCAUCUUUUCAACUUCAACUCUUCAUUUUCAUGAACAUGGACUGUCUCUUUAUUUAUUUACAUCUCCUUUGGUUUCUUACAUCAGAAUUUUGUAGUUUUCCUCAUAUAGAUCUUGUAUAUAUUUAGAUUUAUAUCUAAGUAUUUCCGCCCCUUUUUGGUGCUAAUGUAAGUGGUGUUUUUAAUUUUAAUUUCAAAUCCAAAGUGUUCAUUGCUAUUGUAUAGUAAAAUAAUUGACUUUGUAUAAUAACUUUCAUCCUGAUACCAUGCUAUAAUCACUUAUUAGUUCCAGAAAUCUUUUUUGUUGAUUAUUUGGGAUGUUCUACCUUGAUAACCAUGUUAUCUGUGAACAAAGGCAGCUUAAUUUCUUUCUUCCUAAUAUGUAUACAUUUCCUUUAUUUGUCUUAUUACAUUAGCUAAAACUUCAGUUACGAUGUUGAAAAUGAGUGGUGAGAGGGGACAUCCUUGCUUUGUUCCUAAUAUUAGCAGGAAGGCAUGCAGCUUCUUUUGACUAAUAUGUUAUCUGUAGAAUUUUGUAGAUGUUUGUGAUCCAAGUGAGGCAUUUUUAUUAUUGAAAUAAAAUAAAUAAAACUUACUAUUUUAACCAUUAAGGUGCACAAUUCAGUGACAUUAAGUACAUUCACAAUGUUCUGCAACCAUCAAUAUCAUUCACUUUUAGAUCAUUUUCAUCAUCCCAAACAGAAAUUGUACCCAUAAACAAUAAUUCCCCUCUUGCUCUCUUUCAAUCCCCUAAUAACCUCUAUACUUUAUGAUUUUGACUAUUCUGGGCACCUCACAUACGUGUAAUCAUACAAGAUGUGUCUUUGCGUACUUGUACAAGUGUCCUUGUAUAAUAGGCCUGCAUAUGGCUUAUUUUCCUUAGCACAAUGUUUUCUUUUUAGGGGAAAACAGGGUCUUGCUCUGUUACCCUGGCUGGAGUGCAGUGGCACAAACAUGGCUUACUGCAGCCUCAAUCUCCCAGGCACAAGUGAUCUUCCCACCUCAGCCUCCUGAGUAGCUGGGACCACAAGCAUGUGCCACCAUACCUGGCUAAUUUUAAAAUUUUUUGUACAGACAGGGUCUCACCAUUUUGCCCAGGCUGGUCUCAAACUCCUGAGCUCAAGGGAUCCUCCUGCCUCCAUCUCCCAAAGUGCUGAGAUUAUAGGCAAGAGCCACAACACCACCAGCCCUAGCACAAUGUUUUUAAGGUUCAUCCAUGCUAUAGCAUAUAUCAGAGUUUCAUUUCUUUUUAAGAUUGAUUAAUAUUCCAUUGUAAGUAUACCACAUUUUGUUUAUCCAUUUACAAAAUGGACAUUUGGGUUGAUUCUACCUUUUGGCUAUUGUGAGUAAUGCUGCUGUGAACACUGGUGUACAAAUAUCUGUUUGAGUCCCUGCAGCAUAUCAUAAUUCUAUAUUUGUUAAAGAUCUCACAUACUAUUUUCUAUAGUGGUUGCACCAUUUUAUGUUCCCAUCAGCAAUGUACAAUAGUUCCAAUUUCUCCACAUUCUCACCAAAACUUGCUUUCUGUUUUCUUUCUGUAAUGACCCCUAUAAUAGGUAUAAAGUAAUAUCUCAUUGUGGUUUGGAUUUGCAUUUCCCUAAUGACUAGUGAUGCAGAGAGAAUAUUUUCAUGCCCUGGUUAGCUAUGUAUCUUCUCUGGAGAAAUGUCUGUUCAAGUCCUAUGCCUAGUUUUUUUGUUUUUUGUUUUUGAGACAGAGUCUCGCUCUGUCACCCAGGCUGGAGUGCAGUGGCGUGAUCUUGGCUCACUGCAACCUCCGCCUCCCAGGUUUAAGUGAUUCUCCUGCCUCAGCCUCCUGAGUAGCUGAGAUUACAGGUGGCUGCCACCAUGCCCAGCUAAUUUUUGUGUUUUUAGUAGAGAUGGGGUUUCACCAUGUUGGCCAGGCUGGUCUUGAACUCCUGACCUCAAGUGAUCCACCUGCCUCGGCCUCCCAAAGUACUGGGAUUACAGGUGUGAGCCACCAUCCCCAGCCAUAUGCCUAGUUUUGAAUUAGGCUGUUUGUAUAUUUUGUUCUUGUGAGUUGUUAAGAAUUUAUGUCCGAACAUAAAUCCCUUAUCAGAUAUAUACUAUGCAAAUACCUUUUCCCAUUCAGAAGGUUACCUGUUUAUAUUAUUAAUAGUGUCCUUUUAUGCACAAAAGUUUC
rnacentral:tRNA from 10 species